AAGUCGUAACAAGGUUUCCGUAGGUGAACCUGCGGAAGGAUCAUUAUGAAUUUGAACUUGUGCAUGUUAGGGGACUGUUUUUGAUUUAUUUCAUGAACACGCCUCUUUCUGCGCAUUUCUUUUUCUGUGAACUGUUCUCAAGUCUUUUUUUUUUUUUUUCAAUUUAGUUUGAGAAAAAAAAAGCUUGGGUUACUCUUUUUUGUUUUCUUGUAUUAUUCCAAUCUUUUUUUUUUUUUUUGAGUAAUUCUUGCAAAAGAAUGAAAAAAAAACAAAAAAAAAAUAUAAAACCAAGACAACUUUCAGCAAUGGAUCUCUUGGCUCUU
rnacentral:misc_RNA from 1 species